rfam:Salmo salar isolate Sally breed double haploid chromosome ssa18, whole genome shotgun sequence.
UGUAUUCACUACUGUAAGUCGCUCUUGAUAAGAGUGUCUGCUAAAUUACUAAAA